AUGACCAAUGCCAUCCUAACUGACCAGUCGUCUUGCAUAAUUAACUUUAGUAUAAAGCGUGAGCACUGCCGCGGGCUCUUCCCAUCAAGAUCGAUACGCUCGCCACCGUUCUAUUGUGCAGAGCAUGGUUUCUUUCUUUCGGCGCUCGCUAAAACUGAGCCAUUCAACUUUUUUGGUCUCUUAAUAAAGAAGCUAGAAGGCAAUGGCCCACUAAGGGGGACAAUAGAUUAUGAGUUGGAGGUAACGGCAAGGCGGUCGUCCGAGUUUGCCUCCAUAUCGAGUAUCUCAACAACCACCGACAUUAGACAAGCUUUUGGAUGCAGGAUUCCUUAG
rnacentral:rRNA from 1 species